rnacentral:rRNA from 1 species
CAGUUGGAUGGGCGAAGCCUGACCGCAAUGCCGCGUGCAGGAAGAAGGCCUUCGGGUUGUAAACUGCUUUUGUACGGAACGAAACGGUCCUUUCUAAUAAAGAGGGCUAAUGACGGUACCGUAAGAAUAAGCACCGGCUAACUACGUGCCAGCAGCCGCGGUAAUACGUAGGGUGCGAGCGUUAAUCGGAAUUACUGGGCGUAAAGCGUGCGCAGGCGGUUCUAUAAGACAGAUGUGAAAUCCCCGGGCUCAACCUGGGAAUGGCAUUUGUGACUGUAGAGCUAGAGUACGGUAGAGGGGGAUGGGAUUCCGCGUGUAGCAGUGAAAUGCGUAGAUAUGCGGAGGAACACCGAUGGCGAAGGCAAUCCCCUGGACCUGUACUGACGCUCAUGCACGAGAG